GAUCAUGGCUCAGGAUGAACGCUAGCUACGGGCUUAACACAUGCAAGUCGAGGGGCAGCAGGGCAAUAGCUGCUGUUGUGCUGGCGACCGGCGCACGGGUGAGUAACGCGUAUCCAACCUACCCCCGCGGUCAGGGACAGCCCGGCGAAAGUCGGAUUAAUACCUGAUGCAGUCAGAAGAGGGCAUCUGAUUUUGACGAAAGAUUCAUCGCCUCGGGAUGGGGGAUGCGUAGGAUUAGGCAGGCGGCGGGUAACGGCCCACCGCGCCGACGAUCCUUAGGGGUUCUGAGAGGAAGGUCCCCCACACUGGUACUGAGACACGGACCAGACUCCUACGGGAGGCAGCAGUGAGGAAUAUUGGUCAAUGGGCGCGAGCCUGAACCAGCCAAGUAGCGUGCAGGAUGACCGGCCCUAUGGGUUGUAAACUGCUUUUAUGCGGGGAUAAAGUGCGGCACGUGUGCCGUUUUGUAGGUACCGCAUGAAUAAGGACCGGCUAAUUCCGUGCCAGCCGCGGC
rnacentral:rRNA from 1 species